GUCGGUCCUGGGCAUGAAACCCCUUGGGUGUUUGUUCUGGGUCUCGGUGCUGGGUGGCCCCCACAGCCAAGCACGUACCCCGGAGGAGAAUUGUGUUUGGAGCAAAAGGACGUUGAAGCCAGGGGUCGGGGGCACAGAGAUGGGUAAAGGGUCCCAGGGUUAUUUUCUCCUUGGGGGUGAUGGCCACCUUGCUAAGGUCUAAGGUCUGCUGCACCUGCCCAUUAGGCAGACCCUUCUCAGGAGAAGUCAGCACUGGACACAGCCAUGACAUUGUCUAGGGGAUGGGGACACUCACUUCCUCUCCUGAAGGGCGUGCUGACCUUGGUCUUGCUGACUCUGGGGCUGGGGCCGCUGUGAUCUCAAGGAGUCUGGGCACAUGGACGCCAUGUGAUGAGGGCGCUGUUGACUUUUCGUGUCCCAUGGUGUGCUUGGCAAACAGGGAGCUUUACCCAAGGCCACCUUGUCCCCAUUGGCUGGGUUGGGAGCUGUGCAGCGGGAGGCAGAGGACGGGGCUCUCUGGCGCGGGCUCGCCCCUCCAGCUGGCCCAGGUUUCCGACCCGGGGAGGCUGACCACUCAGGUAAAGAAGAAAUUCAGGAACUGGCUCCGGGUGGCCGGCACUCCUGGAGGCCUCUGAACCUUCUUCUGUUGCUGUACCUGUGGCUGGACCAUUUCCCAGGUGAGGACCGGCUGGGAUCCCCAGCGCGGGGCUUUCAGACACUUGGAUCCUCUCUGCCCGGCCCUGUGAGCCCCAAUGGGGGCCCCUUUGUGUUAUGAGGCCAUAGCGUUGGAGCUGGAGGAGGCGACCUAACUGUCUCUUCUCCCAGGAAAGCAUGUUCGGGAAAGGCCAGCAGUGGGGGGUGGGGGGUGUGCAGAGGCCGCGCAGGUGUGCGCGGGGAUGCACAUCUGUGCUCGAGCGUGCAUGUGUGUCUGUGUGCACGGGUGCGUGUGUGGCAGACCCACAAGGGCGGGCGGAUGCUGUCAUUUCAGAAACGGUGUGGGGAUAUUUCUGAGGACGUCCUCUCCGGCCGCAGUGGGGACAGUCAACGACCCCGCGCUCCUGGCCCACGCCGCUCCCUGGAUCCGCACGCCGGGCCCUUCGGAUCAGACCGGGGCCAUCUGCCCCGCUUUCCCGGGAGGGGUCUGCGCCCGGAGAGGCGGAGGCCGGGCCCCGCGUCAGUCACCAGCGAGGCUGGGGUGGGCCCCGCCGGGAGGCCGAGGGUCACCGCGAGGGCG
rnacentral:lncRNA from 1 species